CAACCUGCCGAUAACUCCGGAAUAGCCUUUCGAAAGAAAGAUUAAUACCGGAUAGCAUACGAAUAUCGCAUGAUAUUUUUAUUAAAGAAUUUCGGUUAUCGAUGGGGAUGCGUUCCAUUAGUUUGUUGGCGGGGUAACGGCCCACCAAGACUACGAUGGAUAGGGGUUCUGAGAGGAAGGUCCCCCACAUUGGAACUGAGACACGGUCCAAACUCCUACGGGAGGCAGCAGUGAGGAAUAUUGGUCAAUGGGCGAGAGCCUGAACCAGCCAAGUAGCGUGAAGGAUGAAGGCUCUAUGGGUCGUAAACUUCUUUUAUAUGGGAAUAAAGUUUUCCACGUGUGGAAUUUUGUAUGUACCAUAUGAAUAAGGAUCGGCUAACUCCGUGCCAGCAGCCGCGGUAAUACGGAGGAUCCGAGCGUCAUCCGGAUUUAUUGGGUUUAAAGGGAGCGUAGGUGGAUUGUUAAGUCAGUUGUGAAAGUUUGCGGCUCAACCGUAAAAUUGCAGUUGAAACUGGCAGUCUUGAGUACAGUAGAGGUGGGCGGAAUUCGUGGUGUAGCGGUGAAAUGCUUAGAUAUCACGAAGAACUCCGAUUG
rnacentral:rRNA from 1 species